AAUAAAAGCCAACUAACUCAAAAUUCUACAGUUAUUGCUACACCACAUAAAGGGUUUACGAUCAUGAGUCA
rnacentral:sRNA from 1 species